rnacentral:rRNA from 1 species
UCGCAAGUAUGAGAAGAGCAUGCGAAGGAUGCCUUGGUUCUAGGAGGCGAUGAAGGACGUGGUACGCUGCGAUAAGCUGUGGUGAGGUGCGAUCAACCCUUGACCCACAGAUCUCCGAAUGGGGCAACCCAUCCCGCAAGGGAUAUUCCGCAAGGAAAGCGAACGCAGAGAACUGAAACAUCUCAGUACCUGCAGGAAAAGACAUCAACCGAGAUUCCCCAAGUAGUGGCGAGCGAACGGGGACCAGGCCAUUGGGGUGACAUGUAAAAGCAGAACGGGAUGGAAAGCCCGGCCACAGUAGGUGAUAGCCCUGUACGCGGUGAUUGCAUGUCAUUCCAUCGAGUAGGGCGGAGCACGUGAAACUCCGUUUGAACAUGGGAGGACCAUCUUCCAAGCCUAAAUACUACCUAGAGACCGAUAGUGAACUAGUACCGUGAGGGAAAGGUGAAAAGCACCCCGAACAGGGGGAUGAAACAGAUCCUGAAAUCGCAUGCUUACACAGCAGUCGGAGCCCGUUCGCGGGUGACGGCGUACCUUUUGUAUAAUGGGUCAGCGAGUGAUUGUAGCAAGCAAGCUUAAGCCGACAGGUGUAGGCGCAGCGAAAGCGAGUGUUAAUAGCGCGUUUAGUUUGUUGCAUUCGACCCGAAACCGAGUGAUCUUACCAUGAGCAGGUUGAAGGAUGGGUAAUACCAUCUGGAGGACCGAACCGGUAUCUGUUGAAAUAGAUUCGGAUGACUUGUGGUAAGGGGUGAAAGGCCAAUCAAACUCGGAGAUAGCUGGUUCUCCGCGAAAUCUAUUGAGGUAGAGCCUCGGAAUUAGCGAGUUGGGGGUAGAGCACUGGAAAGACUAGGGGGGCAUAGAGCCUUACCAAAUCUUACCAAACUCCGAAUACCAACUUUGCAUAUCCGGGAGGCAGUCCACGGGUGCUAACAUCAGUGGGCGAGAGGGAAACAUCCCAGACCACCGUCUAAGGUCCCUAAAUUAUAGCUAAGUGUAUAAGCAUGUGGUGUUGCUCAGACAACCAGGAUGUUGGCUUAGAAGCAGCCAUCAUUUAAAGAAAGCGUAACAGCUCACUGGUCAAGCGACGCUGCGGCGAAAAUGUAUCGGGGCUAAGCUAUAUACCGAAGACGUGGGCUUCUUUUAGAAGCGGUAGCGGAGCGUUGCGUAAGCCUGUGAAGGUGCACUGACAAGGUGUGCUGGAGGUAUCGCAAGUGAUUAUGCUGACUUGAGUAGCGAUUAGACGGGCGAGAACCCCGUCCGCCGAAAUCCCAAGGGUUCCUGUUCCAUGCCAAUCAGGGCAGGGUAAGCCGGUACCUAAGGCGAGGCCGAAAGGCGUAGUCGAUGGCAAUCAGGUUAAUAUUCCUGAGCUUGUAGGUGGUGACGGAUCGAAACGAUCGUAUUCUCUUAUUGGAUUGAGGAUGCGGUUCGGAGGUUCCAGGAAAUAGCCCCUACGUAUAAGCCGUACCCUAAACCGACACAGGUGGGAUGGUAGAGUAUACCGAGGCGUUGAGAGAAGCAUGGUUAAGGAACUCGGCAAAUUACCCUCGUAACUUCGGGAAAAGAGGGCCCUGCUGGCGGGCAACCGCCGGUGGGGGGCACAGAAAUGGGGGUGGCGACUGUUUAUCAAAAACACAGGGCACUGCAAACUCACAAGAGGAAGUAUAGUGUCUGACGCCUGCCCGGUGCCGGAAGGUUAAUUGAUGGUGUGCAAGCACCGGAUCGAAGCCCCGGUAAACGGCGGCCGUAACUAUAACGGUCCUAAGGUAGCGAAAUUCCUUGUCAGGUAAGUUCUGACCCGCAUGAAUGGCGUAACGAUCUCCCCACUGUCUCAACCAUGUGCUCAGCGAAAUAGAAUUCCCCGUGAAGAUGCGGGGUACCCGCGGCUAGACGGAAAGACCCUAUGCACCUUUACUACAACUUUGCAGUGGGCUUAGGAAUGUUAUGUGCAGGAUAGGUGGGAGCCGGUGAAGCCAAGGCGUUAGCUUUGGUGGAGGCAACGGUGAGAUACCACCCUUAACAUUCUUGAGUUCUAACCCAGCCCCUCACACGGGCGGGGACCCUGCAUGGCGGGUAGUUUGACUGGGGCGGUCGCCUCCCAAAGAGUAACGGAGGCGCUCGAAGUUCGGCUCAGGACGGUUGGAAACCGUCCGUUGAGUGUAAUGGCAAAAGCCGGGCUGACUGCAAGACUGACAAGUCGAGCAGGUGGGAAACCAGGACAUAGUGAUCCGGUGGUUCUGAAUGGAAGGGCCAUCGCAAACGGAUAAAAGGUACGCUAGGGAUAACAGGCUGAUCGCACCCAAGCGUCCAUAGCGACGGUGCGGUUUGGCACCUCGAUGUCGACUCAUCACAUCCCGGGGCUGGAGCAGGUCCCAAGGGUUCGGCUGUUCGCCGAUUAAAGUGGUACGUGAGUUGGGUUCAAAACGUCGUGAGACAGUUUGGUCCCUAUCUACCGUGGGUGAAGGAGUUUUGAGGAGAGUUGCCCUUAGUACGAGAGGACCGGGGCGAACACACCUCUGGUGUAUCUAUUGUCGCGCCAGCGGCAUUGUAGAGUAGCCAUGUGUGGACGGGAUAACCGCUGAAAGCAUCUAAGCGGGAAGCCUCCUCCAAAACCAGAACUCCCUAUCAGGACCGUGGAAGACGACCACGUUGAUAGGCCAGGUGUGUAAGCACAGCAAUGUGUUGAGCUAACUGGUACUAAUUGUCCGAUUGACUUGUAAUUUA